AAAUUUCUAAUGGAUAUGGAGAAAUACUUGGAAACAAUAAUGCAUCUGGAAAAUCAGACCUGGGGUACUGUCAGAUACCAAGGGGUAGGACAGAAGACAUAGCUACCCUCAUAACCCAAUAUAAGCUUGGUCAGAAUAACUGGAUAGUACAGGAGGAUUUGGCAAGUGGAGUCUCCCGGACUCCGCUGAACUGCUUCUACACUCUGCUCAAAUCUUCAUGCUAACACCAGGACUCUUAGUAUAAGCAGCAAUGACUUGAGCAUACUGUUAUGCAUAAUUAAGUAUAACUUCAGCUGCAUGGGGGUAAAUAGAGGCUUUCUGUUUUUGAAUUCAGAACAUUGCCUUCUAUGAACAUUCAAGUGAUGCAGAGGAUUCCUCCCAAAUUGGAAGAAUGUUCCAAUAUCGAUGGUUAAAAACCAGACAUAUAUACAUUACAGUAGCUUUCUAUAUUUUUGUCACUAUUUUGGAUUUUAGCCUAGGGAAAUGGAAACACAUUUGUACUAUUUUUAUCUGCUAUCAUCCUGGUUCCUAGGAAAAUGUAUGCAUAGAUUUGGAGGCCUAGUUAAUAAACAUUAUCAGGCUGAGAUCAAAACACCUUUGGAAGACCUACAUGAGCUAUACAGGAUCAGAUGAAGGGCUCUAUGUCAUUGCUAAAGAAAAGACUUUUGAAAAUACUGCAGUAAUGGAAGAGACUAUAGACAUUUGCCAGGACAUCUCCCUAUUCUAGAGAAACAUAUAUUGUUUCUAAAGAUAUCCUGAAUCUUCUAAGGAUUAUGUACUUUCCCAAAUAUAUUUCAUGCUUAAUAAAUCUGGGCUGAAUAAAUAUUAUUUUCUCUGUGA